GUCCUAGCCGUAAACGAUGAGCACUAGGUGUUGGGGGUUACCUUCAGCGCCGUAAGAUAACUCGUUAAGUGCUCCACCUGGGGACUACGACCGCAAGGUUAAAACUCAAAGGAAUUGACGGGGGCCCGCACAAGCGGUGGAACAUGUGGUUCAAUUCGACGCUACGCGAGGAACCUCACCAGGGCUUGACAUGCAGGAAGUAGUGACCCGAAAGGCAAACCACCUGUCAAGUCAGGAGCCUGCACAGGUGCUGCAUGGCUGUCGU
rnacentral:rRNA from 1 species